AGCUAACAGUGGGUAGAGAUGUUUUCCUCAUUUUGUUGAAGCACAUUUACAGAAGCCCCUUCAACCGUCUUUUCAUCCGUUUUUAAUUGUUAAGUUGUGUCACAUUUUCUUUCAGCAUCGAUAACAAUGUGAUUGAUAUGCAUCGAUAGUGAAAUGAUACAUAGACUUUCAUGGGUUUUCAGGAGCAACACCAUUCUGCUCCUCCUGAAAUCAUGAAGCCAUUUCUUCAGGACAGAAACUCACCAUUUGUGUUGCUGUGUGUGUGUGUGUGUGUGCUGCCACCACAGAAGAAGAGGAGGAUGAAACAGGAAGGUGGUUGUGAAGGUGGCAGCGGGAACAGAUGGCCUGGCAGAGCAUGGGGAGAGGCCGGAACCGCCCCCCACCCCCCACCCCCACCCCACCCUCUGACCGACUUCCAUUGAUGUACCAGUGAGUGUUUGUGCGUACAGCAUGUGUUACCGCCACACAUCUUCGCACAACAUUCCUGGAAGCAGAAACAUGUUCAGGGCACAGAUCCAGGCUCCUUCAGUCGCACAAAAACACAACACAAAAACACUGACAUGCUCUGUCCUCACUGUCAUGCAGUUCUCCAGGAUAAACACCAGAGUGUAGACGUUUGUUUGUUAUGUUCCUCUGCUCUCACUCAGCUCCAUUUUUGGUUCUUCAACUUCUUCAUCUCUUGAUGAAGAACGAGAGUGUUUCUGUUAUCUGUCAGAGACACAAGUCCUGAUCUUCCCCAGAGACCUUCAAACAGUCAGACGUUUGGAAGUCCUCCUGGACAACCAGCAACAAAAACAUCACUUCCCAGCAUACAUUUCUGUCCAUCAUCAGAAGGUCAUUUUCUUUCUGACUCUUGACGUCUCUGUGAUUCCUGCAGUGGUCUUCCAACAGAACGAAGAGAAUCAAGCUUCUGCGGAUGAAAUAUCAACUUCCACGUCUGCAACACAGCAGCCGUUUUUUCUUCUACAGGUCCAACUUAAAACCACAAACAGAAAAUCCUCAUUCACCUGUUGACAUCUCUCAUCUGAGAGCUUUUUUCUAUCAAAGCUGAACCCAGGAUGAUGGGUGUCUCAUCUGAAGAUCUCUUUGCAUGAAUGGACUUCCAGAUGGAUCCAUCUGUGUAGCACACUGGGACGAAGACGAUGCCAGCUACUCUCUUCAUGUUUCUCCCAUCUUUGUUUUCCAGCUUUUGUGAACUCCUCACUUCGUUAUUUUUGAUUUCGGGAAUAUUUUGAUUUAACGCUCAGUAGAUUGAGUUGCUCCAACAUUCCAAAGUACAUGGAACGUUUCUGGAUGAAAUUCUGACCAACACUUUGGAAUUUGUCUUGAGCUCCAAAUGAGGGAAGUACUCACACGCCACGAAAACUUCAUCCAAGUUGUUUCAGAUGCCAUAUUUGGAAAAGGAAGAAUCCUUUUCUGCCGACCUGGAAGUAUCUCCUCUGAAAAGGAAGGAAGUCCAGCGCUUCCAGUUUUCAUCUUCUUCGAUAUUUUAAACACAAAUAUAAGUUGGACGCACUUCUGACGUAUGGGUGAUGCAGUCGUACGAUGCCCUCAUGGCUCACUCCAGUGGCUCCUUACUGACCCUACGUGAUACGUACAGUAAGCGCCCUAGGAUGCACUCACAAACUGUGAGACUAAUGUAACCUGCCCACUUAUGUGAGCAGCACUAAUGGGAUCCUUGCUCAGUGCACAGGAUUUGGAGAGGGUAAGAAAAAUGAAAGAUCCAUCAAACGCACCUGCGUCUCACCGACUUCACCCUUACAUAUCCCUUGGGUUUAGUAAAGGUGUUUUCUAUGACCUGUCUCUCAUAGCGUGCUGCUCGCUGAGCAGUUUACCACCUUUUGUGGCGGCCACCUGUGUUCCCAGUAAACGUUUCACCCUAUUUUUGCCAGUGGACAGCCCGUAUCCACCCACAAGGGCAGUUGUGACUUAAACCUGAGUCACAUGCACCCGUUAAAUGGGUGGAUCAGCAUGGGUGCUGCAGGUUUUUGGGUUGUCCGAGCCCAUGGAAGGUUGUGCUUCCUAAAGGGAGUGCAGGUUUCCCUUGAGACUCCUACGGCCAUCUGAAGGGGCCUCAUGAAAAUAGAAUGCCCUAUUGUUGGAGUACAGGGUGAAGUAUUUGUAAGGAUAAAGACGUGCGGGGGAUGCUGUCAUACGGUACCCGUCUGCCACAGUUGUUAAUAAGGUGCACAUACUGGCUCCUUACUGACUGUGCGCAAAUAAUGCACGGAUCACGCGGUGUACACGUAAUCCAUUAAGAGCCCGUAGGAUGCCGGCAGGGAGCCCACACAUUGUCUAAUUUCCUCAUUUCUAACUGUCAAGUGUAAUGAACAUGUCCUUCUCAUGUGAACAGCACUUAUGGGACCCUUGCGCAGUGCAGAGUUUGACGGGGUUGAAAAAAUGACAAAUCCAUCCGACACGUCAGCGUCUUACCAAUUUUAUUUUACUUUACCAACCAACAAUUGCCCCUUGUUGGUUGGCCGUGACUUCUUCUGGAUUCUCUCCUCCGUCUGAGAGUUACAGCUGCCUGCAAUCACUCAUUGGGUUCACUACUUUAGGAGGAGUCUUUUUGGGGGUUUUGUGUACUCCAUGAUUUUUUAGUUGUGUUUGUUCUGAACUUGUGGUUCAUUGAAUCCUUUGCUGUUUCAAGGAGCUGAGUGGAGUCUUUCCAUCUUCUGGGUCCACUCCGUCGGCCAAACCCAAACAACGUGUUGCGUGUUGUAGAAGAGUUUGCUGUGACCCGUCGCAGCACGCCCGUAGAGAGAAAUGCAUGAACAUUUUCUCUCUAUGGGCUCACAGAGCUGUCUCCGACCUCGAUAUUUCCAGCGGGUCACCCGUACAUGUUUGCCCAUUUUUCACAAGCAGACAGCCACUUGCUACUAAGGAUAAUUGGGACUAAACUUUAGGGUCUUAUCUAAAACUUCAAACAGAUCAUCUGCUAUCUAGCUGGAUAGUUUGAAGUGUGGAAACUUGGCAUGUAGAGAUUGAUGUGCACUUUCCAGUUUUUUUUUAUAUAAAGAUGAAGCUCCAGACUCAAAAAAUCGUCUUAGAUCGCUCAACCACCAAUGCACGUUUAACUCUCUUUUCCUAAAGAUCAAGGUCUCCACAGUAAGAAAACCAGACGGCAGCAGAACCAUGUGAAGGUGCAGCGAACGCAGCGCCGUCUGCACCCCAACAGAGACGGGGGCCGGGGCAAGAGAGUGCGGACGCUGGGGGAGGACGAGACGAGGCGGUGUUCAAAAAAACGCAAAAAAUCCUCCAUCUCUGCUCACCCCAGGCCUCCCCCAGAGAGGGCGUGCGUGAGAGUGUGUGUGUGUGUGUGUGUGUGUGUGCGUUUGUUUUAUGGAUCCAGCUGAGCAGAAACUCUCACAUUAUACAAGCUAACCAAAAUAUCUGAGCGCUGAAGGGAAAGCAGCAAGGGGUCAGAGGUCGACCUCCUCAGAUUCUUCGUCUCUUCUUUUCUCUGUCUUACAUUUGUAAAACACACACACACACAAACACACAGCCUCCCUCGGCAGCGCAGAGCCCACGCACACACCGGGUUUCACCAGGACCAAUGCGAUUGGGCUCCAAAACGGGAAGGAAAAAAAAUCAAGAAGCUGCAGCGCAGCUCUGAGGAGGAAGGAAGCCUGCAGGCGAGAUGAUGGGGAGCAGGCUGUCAGCAGGCCGGGCAUAUGCCAGAUCCUCCACCCCCACCUCCAAAAUAUCCCAACACAACAAAUAGGAGAAAGCUCCCCUCUGCCCCCCAAUCUCCUUUCUGCCAAAAAAACAGUCGGCAAAGCCAGAAAAAAAACAAUUUGGACACAAAUGUUUGUUUUAGUUCCAUUUGUUCACAUGAAAAUGUGAAGCCUAUUUGGCCAAAGGAGAGAAAAUCAAAUGUCCCAAAACAAACAUCUCUAAAUAUUUACCCCUUUUUCAGCACAAUGAAGACAUAAAAGACCUUCUUUUGCAUCCAAAUCUGUCUUUAGAAGUGUUUUUUUUACUUAAAGUAAUUCAUUCCAAAGCAAAGUUUCAACUAAAUAAAACAAAACCAAAUUCAGCGGCAGGUGCUUGCUGUGGAUGACCUUUAACCCCCAGACCUUUACGGCUGAACCUUCACCUGAGUUUCUUCAAGUUUGGGCCUAAUCCUCCACAGCUGAACCCUCACAUGUUAACAUUUCACACUUAAACCUAACACUGCAUGGAAGUCAUGUCAGAAGAUGGUUCUCACUUUCUUUUUGAAAAUCUGCCUUAGGUUUUUUUCACGUCUAACGACCGAACUACGCCUUUAUUCUACGACUUCCUCUGACAGACUUUACAGUUUGAGACGAUGGCUGAAGUCUCAGGACAGGCCCGAUAAGCAGAACAGCAAUGUUUGUUCAGCCACUGUAGUGCCCUUGAGCAAGAUUCUCCCCCCCAGCAGGUCACUUCUGUUGAAGAAGUAGGCGGGUCCCAGCAGCAAAGGGGGAUUCUGUGUGAAAAGGUUAAUAUAGCAGCACCAUUGCAGAGGUGCAGCCCCCACCUGGAGUCUGCUCUAGAGAGUUACUGGGAAUCCGAUUUUUCCUCAACUGCUUCUGGGUUCCUCCUGAAUUCCCCUAUAGGCCUUUGUCAAGAAAAGACAUACCGGUACCUGCUUUAGCUCCUCCUGCUGCUCAAAGGGGGCACCCUGCUCCACCUCCAGCAUCAGUGACCAGCCCACUCCUGACCCCCACCAGCUCAAAUCUAACAGCGCGUGAAAAACAAGCAAAUCAGAUCUUCAGUCCGGCAGUCUUUGUGUUCACCUCAGAGAAGCUCCAGUUGGCUGUGAGAGCACACCUGACCAACAGAACCGGCCAAUCACGGAUCAGCUCAUCCACUCGUGUGACAAACAGCAGCUGGAUUCAGCUUGUUGUGUUUGUGAUGGAGGGGAUUCACCUGAGCAAGACGACAGCGGCACACACAAAGACAACUGGGCAGAGCUGCUACAUCCCGGCGCUCCUGUGGGCCUCAACAGCGGCGGCCCCAUCUCCUGUGGUGUGACUAACGAGGAACGACAGCGCCAAGGCGGUGAAGAUCGGCAGAAACUGGGCUCAGGGCCACCUUUGUGUGCCGCCUGCUAUCUUCCCUAAACAUGUGCCCGCAACCCCCCUCCCCCAGGGGGCCAAAGCUGCCCUUCAUCUCCACUCUGGCUCCCCCUUUCAGACUUUCACACCCCUGUGGGGUUCGUGGGGGGGUGGGUCAACUCACUUCCAAGCACCUGCCAAUCACAGCCAGUGAAAAAUCAUCUGGAGUCCACUCACAGAACAAUGUCUCCCUCUGGUGGCCGCUUAUUGCUACUGCAGCGACUCUGACAUUACAGGAGGAGGAAGUUCUGAAACCCAGCAGGUUCCUCUGCCUUAUGAUGACGAGGAGAAACAAGAGCAGACGACAAGAAAAUAAUAUGAGGAUUGAAGCCAGAUGGUACUGAUCUGGCUCUGUGAUGUCACAGAACCUCAAAGAUCCAAACAAAAGUAGUUUAAUCUUGUUUGUAAUGAAAUAUUAUUGUGUUUGCUUUUUUUUCGCAUCUCGCAGAGUGAUGAACUCAGUGGGAGGUUAGGAUGAUGAAGGAUCCUGCAGAAGGAAGUGGGACACCAUCACUCACAGGCCCCUCCCACCCCCACAUGCAGAAAGCAGAGAUGGAUCUGUGCUUGGAAUGAUGCAUGCACCUAAACCCCCUCCCUGGGGGUCGGGCUCGACUGGUUUGUCAGGUCUUAAUCAGUCAGGGUGACGGUCUUCCUGCAGCCACACAGAACCUUCUGAACUUCUAUCAGAACUAUUUGGAAGACUAAAGCAGGGCGGCGUGAUGUGAGUGCCACCUUCUGGAAGAAGCCCCGCCUCUCCUUCAGCCUGACAAUCGGCGGCCAUGACAGAUCAGCAUCACUUCAGGAUCCUCAGAGGAGCAUUGGAAGUUUUGAUUGGACAUUUUCUCUGAUGACUUUGAAGGCAGCAGGUCCUUCAGGAAAAAGGCUUCCUUAUCCGCUGUUAUCCCAGGAACCCGGUGAGAGCUGUGGAAGUGAUGCAGGAGGGAACAGAUGGGCCGCAUUAAUCGUCCGUGUAUGUUUAAGCAGAAAGGUAUUUAUUUGCGUGAGUGGCCGAGGGCUGGAAUUAAACGGUGCAGGAGAGGGAAGAAGGAGGGCCGGCGAGAACUUCCCGCUUCGCAGAUCUCAUUGAAAAAGCGACGUUUUCACGAGAUCACAGCGAUCAGGUUGCAAAGCAGAAAGCUUUCAGGGAAAUCUAAAUAAAUGGGAGUGAAACGGAGAUCUGCAUGAAGGAGAGGAGCUCCGUGUUUACAGCCUCUUUGGAGACCUGAAACGGACCUCCGCAUAAAUAAAUACCACUGCUACAGGAAGUUCAGCCUCUUCGCCUCAGGCCCCGCUUGGUUUUAUUAGCUGCAGUCCUGCAGAGAUAGCAAACAAUAAGACCUGCUACCCUUCCUCCUCCUCCUCCUCUUCCUCCGCCUCAGCUGCUUUCCAAAAGGAGUGAUCCUACAUGAAACCCCCCCUGAGAACAGAACCGAUGUUGGACAGAACGGCUGAGUUCAGCGGGUCGGGCUCAGAGGCACAUCCGCAGCGUUUCAACCCAAAGUCGCCGCUUCUGUCGGCUUUGAUUCAGAUUUAAGUGAAAUAUUGAUUAACAGUGUGACCCUGAAUGCAUCGUAGAGAGCUGUUUCCCAGCUCAGGAUUUUAAGCAUCACUAAAUAAAAUGAAUGGAAACCAGGUGUUUCUGCAGCUCUUCUGAACCUUUCUGAUGUUUUUUUUAUUAAUCAGAGGACUUUGGAGUUAAAAGAAAUGUUCAAACAUGCAGUUCAGCACAUUAUUCAGCUGCUUUACGCAGAUUUCUUACAGUAACUUUUACAUUUGGUGGAAAAACCAGCUUUUUUCCAGCUGUUUUGCACAUUUUGCAGGAAAGCAUCAUACAUCAAAAACUGUUUCAAACAUUUCAAACCUUGAUUUUAGCCAUUGACGGCAUUCUGGCAGGUUUGAAGCUGGUAGAAUUUCUCUUUGCUCUAAAACUUUCCAUGCUUUAGAAUGUAUUUUGUCUUAUUAAGAGCUAGGAUUUCCACAUAAGGAAAUGAGUAUUAAAAUAAGCUCCAUACUCCUGACAAUAGAAAAACGUGAUUGAAAUGUCCAUAUAUCACCUAAAUGUUUUUUAGUAAACGAACAUGGAGAAGUCCCAUUAAAUCUCUCCGUGUUUAACAUUGAACACUGUUGUUUUGAAGACCAGGAGGAUUUAUUAAGAUUGUUUUUUCUCAUUUUGUUGUCAUUUGUCUAAAAGGAGUCGUUUCCAUGCGUUAAACUGCUUUUUUGUCUCAAGAAUCAAAAUGAAAUAGAAUUAGGUACAUAAAACCAUUUGCUAAGAACUAGCAAACAAGUACUUAUCAGUGGGCUGAAUGACAUUCAAUUUGAGGUCAUUCCAUCCAACAGUUAGCUCUUUUAAGGUAUCUUUCCCUCUUGGAAUGUUUUUGUGGGUUUUUCAUAUGAUUUCAUGUCAAAUAAAAAAGACUCGCUGCAUGAACAGAUCGGAUCAUCUGACCACUUUCUAGUGAUUCUCUUCUUAAGACCAGUACUUUCUUUUAUUGUAAGGCUAUGUCUCAUGAAAGAGUACUGUAAGACAUAGCCUCAGUGUCCUUGUGAGAGAGUGUCUGCCCUGUGACUGGAAGGUCGUGAGUUCAAUUCCAGGCCACAAAUGUGGAGAACAAAUGUCACACCCCUACUUUAGGUGCAAUACUGCUCAUGGGUGUUAACGUCUUACAGGAUAGCUAGCUACAAAUGCUAGCUUAGUUGCUACACAUGUCUUUUUUCAGCAAAAGUUUACCUCCUUCGUCUGAUGGAGUACGUAGCAGUUCAUUUAUUCAUUCUGCUGCUUUUUACUGCUAUCAUUUGUAAACAUUAUUUAUGACGCUUUUAUACAAUUUAUACAAACAGGAAGAUCUACCACACGUCCACGCACGCUGGGCUGCUACUACAUCACAUCAUCAAUUAGGCCUUCACUUUCAACCAAUGGCUAAAUAGCGCGCCUUUUCCAGCCAAUCAUACUGUCACCUUUAAAUAUAUGAAUACUUUUUUUUUGGAAGCACCAUCAGUGUUUAGGCUGUCAAGGUUUAUACAUCUAUGGUCUCAACAGCCGGCACAGACUUUCAGCAACCCUGUGAGCCCAAGAGUUUUAGCGGGUAACAAUGACGGCUGGAAGAGAAGAAAAUGGACAGUCUUAGUUCAUACCAAGCAUGCACGAAUUGAUCAGCCCGAGCCAAACCCUCACAGAUUAAAGACAUUACAUGCACUGUUUUCUGUAACACAUAUAAAUCCUAAUAUCUCUCUUUGGUCUGCAUUAUUUUGCUUAUUUUCCGCCGUUUUCCACUUCUUUCGAUCAGUGAAUUAGAUUUUUGUGUCACAUCCACAGCACCGUUCAACCCCAUUCAGGUACUUUCUUUCAGGAUUUUCAGAUCAUUUGGGUUAUGUGUUUGUUUUUUAGCAAAACUAAUGAAUCAUGAUGACUUUUUUUUAAAGUCAAAGACUUUGAAAGCUUCUUUUGUGCCUUUUACUUGU